UACAGAGGUGGCAAGCGUUGUUCGGAAUUACUGGGCGUAAAGGGCGCGUAGGCGGCCCGUCAAGUCCCGUGUGAAAGCCCCCGGCUCAACCGGGGAACGGCGCGGGAAACUAGCAGGCUUGAGUUCGGGAGAGGGAAGCGGAAUUCCGGGUGUAGCGGUGAAAUGCGCAGAUAUCAGGAGGAACACCGGUGGCGAAGGCGGGUCUCUGGGCCGAUACUGACGCUGAGAAGCGAAAGCGUGGGGAGCGAACAGG
rnacentral:rRNA from 1 species